GCUGAGGGGAGCCAGGUGUGCAGUGGCAAGGUCUGCAGUGCUAUAAAAAGCUGUCAAUUGCCCAUUCAGCCUUGGAGCGUGCAUGGAGCACUUUCCAUUAAAAUGGCAAAUUACUGCUUCUUGUGGGAUUAUGCAAUGAACUACUGGAAAAACCAAGAUGCCCUGCUGAGAAACUGAUGGUGGGCUUUGGGGCUUAUGCCAGUACUUUCACUCUCACCAACCCUGCCAGCUGUGGCCUGGAUGCUCCCACCUCUGGCCUGGGGGCUGCCAGAGCCUACACUCAGGAGGCAGGGAGUCUUGGCUACUUUGAGGUUUGCUUCCUCCUGAAAGGAGCCACUGAAGUGUGGAAUGCCCCUCAGGAGGUGCCCUAUGCCUACAAGGGAAUCAGUAGAUUGGAUAUGCCAACCCCAAAAGCUUCAUGAUCAAGCUAUGUCCACGAGUCCUUCAACGUGCCUGUGGGAAGCCAUUUUCCAUUCCCUCCUCUCCAUGGCUGGAUCAUGGCCUUCCCCAUCAUUCUGCUGGAGUCACUCUCUGCGCUUGUGCAAAGGCCACCCUACAGACCCCCUGAUUCUCUCCCACAGGCCAAGUGGCUGCUGAAGAACAGGUUGGGGUGGGGUGGGGGCAUG